rnacentral:misc_RNA from 1 species
GAUGAAGAACGUAGCGAAAUGCGAUACGUAAUGUGAAUUGCAGAAUUCAGUGAAUCAUCGAAUCUUUGAACGCACAUUGCGCCCGCCAGCACUCUGGCGGGCAUGCCUGUUCGAGCGUCAUUUCAACCAUCAAGCCCCCGGCUUGUGUUGGGGACCUGCGGCUGCCGCAGGCCCUGAAAACCAGUGGCGGGCUCGCUAGUCACUCCGAGCGUAGUAAUACAUCUCGCUCAGGGCGUGCUGCGGGUUCCGGCCGUUAAAAAGCCUUAUUUACCCAAGGUUGACCUCGGAUCAGGUAGGAAGACCCGCUGAACUUAAGCAUAUCAAUAAGCGGAGGA